CAUGGUUGUGGCACAGGUUUCCGAUGCGGGUACGCCGGCCGUGUGCGACCCGGGUGCGAAACUUGCCGACCGCGU
rnacentral:tRNA from 1 species